rnacentral:rRNA from 1 species
UACGUAGGGUGCAAGCGUUGUCCGGAUUUAUUGGGCGUAAAGAGCGUGUAGGCGGCCAUACAGGUCCGUUGUGAAAACUGGAGGCUUAACCUCCAGACGUCGAUGGAAACCGUAUGGCUAGAGUCCGGAAGAGGAGAGUGGGAAUUCCUGGUGUAGCGGUGAAAUGCGCAGAUAUCAGGAAGAACACCCGUGGCGGAAGGCGGCUCUCUGGGACGGUACUGACGCUGAGACGCGAAAGCGUGGGGAGCGAACAGG